AGUCGAACGGCAGCACGGACUUCGGUCUGGUGGCGAGUGGCGAACGGGUGAGUAAUGUAUCGGAACGUGCCUAGUAGCGGGGGAUAACUACGCGAAAGCGUAGCUAGCCUGCAUACGCCCUUCGGGAAAGCGGGGGACCUUCGGGCCUCGCACUAUUAGAGCGGCCGAUAUCGGAUUAGCUAGUUGGUGGGGUAACGGCUCACCAAGGCGACGAUCCGUAGCUGGUUUGAAGAGUUGACCAGCCACACUGGGACAGACACGGCCCAGACUCCUACGGGAGGCAGCGGUGGGAAUUUUGGACAAUGGGGAAACCCUGAUCCAGCCAUCCCGCGUGUGCGAUGAAGGCCUUCGGGUUGUAAAGCACUUUUGGCAGGAAAGAAACGGCACGGGAUAAUACCCCGUGCAACUGACGGUACCUGCAGAAUAAGCACCGGCUAACUACGUGCCAGCAGCCGCGGUAAUACGUAGGGUGCAAGCGUUAAUCGGAAUUACUGGGCGUAAAGCGUGCGCAGGCGGUUCGGAAGAAAAGAUGUGAAAUCCCAGAGCUUAACUUUGGAACUGCAUUUUUAACUACCGAGCUAGAGAGUGUGUCAGAGGGAGGUGGAAUUCCGCGUGUAGCAGUGAAAUGCGUAGAUAUGCGGAGGAACACCGAUGGCGAAGGCAGCCUCCUGGGAUAACACUGACGCUCAUGCGAAAGCGUGGGGAGCAAACAGGAUUAGAUACCCUGGCGUCCACGCCCUAAACGAUGUCAACUAGCUGUUGGGGCCUUCGGGCCUUGGUAGCGCAGCUAACGCGUGAAGUUGACCGCCUGGGGAGUACGGUCGCAAGAUUAAAACUCAAAGGAAUUGACGGGGACCCGCACAAGCGGUGGAUGAUGUGGACAAUUCGAUGCAACGCGAAAAACCUUACCUACCCUUGACAUGUCUGGAAUCCCGAAGAGAUUUGGGAGUGCUCGCAAGAGAACCGGAACACAGGUGCUGCAUGGCUGUCGUCAGCUCGUGUCGUGAGAUGUUGGGUUAAGUCCGCAACGAGCGCAACCCUUGUCAUUAGUUGCUACGAAAGGGCACUCUAAUGAGACUGCCGGUGACAAACCGGAGGAGAAUUAGAGGGAUGACGUCAAGUCCUCAUGGCUAUGGGUAGGGCUUCACGUCAUACAAUGGUCGGGACAGGGGUCGCCAACCCGCGAGGAGCCAAUCCCGAAGCCCGAUCGUAGUCCGGAUCGCAGUCUGCAACUCGACUGCGUGAAGUCAGAAUCGCUAGUAAUCGCGGAUCAGCAUGUCGCGGUGAAUACGUUCCAGGUCGCAGCGCACACCGCCCGUCACACCAUGGGAGUGGGUUUUACCAGAAGUAGUUAGCCUAACCGUAAGGAGGGCGGUACCACGGUAGGAUUCAUGACUGGGGUGAAGUCGUAACAAGGUAA
rnacentral:rRNA from 1 species